AAUAAUAAUAAUAGCUCUUAUCCCACAGUGUUAAGGUAUAAAAUAAAAGAGGUGCCUGGCAUAUAAUAAUUAUCACAUAUGCAUAAUAAUAUUCUAAUGAAAAUAUUAUUAUUUUGUCGGUUUCUUUGAGGAGCUACGGGCCCAUAUCGGAGGACCUGCUCUAUGGAUGUGGUGUAGGAGUGCAGCCGCCUUGACAGGCCCCCUUUGCAACAGGACGACCACCCUCCCGCUGUCUGCUUCCUCGCCCGCUUCCCUUUUAGCGAUUAAUGAAUAUGCAUCUCAUUGCCUGCUGAUGUAUUAUGCGCAUCUCAUUAAACUCCGAAGGCUCCACCAGCCUUUAGGGACCGGGUCUUAAGGACAUCCGUAAUGGCCUUCUGCCUGGGAUUUGAGUUUGUGGUUACUCUUCCUGCCCGGGCUGAGCAAUGUCAGGUCAUGGAUUUCUAAAAUAAGAUCGCAAAUUGAUCUAUGAAAUUCAGGUGAGAAUAUGUCUCCCCCACCCCCCAAAAUCAGAUCUAGCCCUGAGCUCCCGCUUACUAUUCUCAGCACAAGCCUUUAACUGCAGUCAUGGUUUCCUGGUCGGGAAGUAGGGAAGAGCCCCCCCCCCCUUCCUUUGCUUUGUGUCGACGUUGCACUGCUAAAGCACGUCAGGAAAACGGGGGUGGAGACAGUAUCGUCAUCUGUGUGUCCUCACUUCACCCCUGCCCUGGACGCCCUCAACGCAUGUGGAACCGCAAGGAAUCCACGGCCACCAUCUCUUCUCAGCUUUGGGGACCAACACUCCAGGUGGGACCGUUCUCCCCUCUUUGCUCCAGAUGCCAAAGCCUGCCUUCCUUUCCACUGCUGGGAGGUCCUGGACCUUUCAGAACAGCAGCCUGCUUAAGAGAGUUUCCCAAGUGACUCUCCCAUACCCCCCUUCUUCCUUCUCUGCCCUGAAACAGGAAGUUUGUUAACCAGACACCUGGGGGUAAAGAGAGCCUGGGCUUCGGGAGGAGUCCUCAGAUAAUCUUCCUAGAAGGUGGCAGAGGAAGGGGAUGUUCCUUUUAUUCUAAUCUGGGCUGGAGCGAGGACCUCAGUUUCUCAGUAGCGCACCUGUUGUGCAUUCGUAAGAGCUGGAUCAAACUUGAGACAGCAUUUGUCCCCACCAUUCCGCUUUUCUGAGUGGUCAAAUAAGAAGCUCCAAGAGAAGAAAGGGGGUUACGUAGUGACUUCCAGGGAACCCAAAUAUGCCCCACACUGUUAAGCUACCAAGUAGAACGGUAGAAGGCAAGGCCCUGCCUUCAGAGAUGUGACAUGUUCACGUGGAAAGAACAGGGCAGUGUACCUGAUUUCCUGCUCUCCACCUUCCAGAAAUAUGGCAUUUCCUGGCUCCUUUGGGUUUGGGUGGGAUGCUGUGAUUCAGUGGCUGAGGAGUUGUGAGGAGAAGUGUGUCAUUUUCCAAAGCAAUUAAUUAGCUGUGGGCGACCCUCACUGCCCCCACUGCCACAAUAUCCAGGAAUGUUCCAGACAGCAGCCAUUCAGCAUGCUUGGGUCCCAGGAGGAGGCCAGUGCAGAGCAGAGCCCCAGCUGACCUGCAGUGGAUAUGUGGUGUAAGCAUGGAACGAAUCCUUGUUGUAGGCUGUUGAAAUUCAGGAGUUGCUUGUCCCCGCAGCAUAACCUUGCCUAUCCUGACUAGGUUGCCCAACAAAGAGGCUGACCAUGAUGAGAGCAGAAAGAGCGAGGGGCUUUUAAAAAAGGGUGAAAUUAUUAGCAUCAAUGAGAACCAUUUGAGUGGAGUGAUGGGAACAGAAGCCAAAUUUAGAGGCUCGAGGGAGAAGAGAUGGCUUUGCCAACAUCAAGUCCCCCGUCAGCACAUUUGCGCUAGAGAUAGAAGCAACAGGGAUGUGUCGUUCAGUCAAGGAGUGACCCUGGAGCCACCCACUCUAUUGAAUGUCUUUUACUUUUUCUGCCCCCUUCCUUGAACUCCUGAUACUCCUAGUAUUAGUGGGCCGUAUGCACAGGCCUUAGUUCAGUAUUUCUGACGAUUCAUAGGACAGCUUCUGUAUACACCCAACACACACAGAGAAAAAUAGAGUAGCAUAAUGAACUGUUUUAGAGCUUGAAAAUGCCCAACCCAGAAGCCACACAUCUCUGCUCCUAAAUUUUCUCCGAGGUCUGAUCAUCUUACCGGACCAGCCCCUUUUGCUUUGGAAGCUUUCUAUCACAGUGCCAUUCAAUACCAGUCCCUAGAAUUGAGUUUUUAUCCCCUGAGAACCCGGGUCCACUCACAAAAAAAAAAAAAAAAAAAAAAAAAACCAUGAAGACCGGCAGAAAAAUCUAGUUUUCUGUUUUUCUACCCUCUCUUCAACAGCUCAGAGUUCCUUGUAUUUCUCUGAUGUCCCAGUGGGAGUAAAUGUUAAUGGUUUUGAAGGAGAUCUGAAGAUAACAAUUUGAAAGUGAGGAAACAUAACACUGAAAUGCUGUCAACUCAGCUAAUUUUAAGGACAAAUAAAACACAAGGUACAGAUAGUCAUGGCACAGGUCGUGCCCCAUCCGACCCCGGAGGCGGUUGCACACUGCCCCAGACCCAACUCAGAGUUCAGAAGGGAAGUAAGAACGUCUCACCCCUCCCCUGAGGACUGAUUUUCUUUGCCCAUUCUGGCUGCCAUAAUAAAGUACCAGAAACUAGUCGAUGAUACGCGACAGAAAUUCAUUUCCCACAAUUCUGGGAAGCCUAAGAUCAACGCACUGGCAGAUUUGGUGUUUAGUGAGAGAGCCCACUUUCUGGUUCCUAGAAGGCACCUUUCCACUGUGUCCUCAUGUGGUGGAGGGUGUCAGGAAGCUCUGGGGGGUCUCUUUGUUAGGGGCACUGAUCCCAUUCACGACCCCCAUUCACCCUCAUGACCUAAGUGCAUCCCAAAGGCCCCACCUCCUAAUCCCAUCACACUGGGGAUGAGGAUUUUAACAUGUAAAUUUUAGGAGAACACAAACAUUAAGGCCAUGGCAUGUAUCUAAACCAAUUUGAUGCUUGUAUUUGUCAGAUUACUUUAGUAAACAGCAGUAGAGCCUUCAGCCAUAUAGCCCCACAACUUUGCCGGCAGGUAGUAUGUGACAAUGUAAGCAGGCCACGGGCAACAUUUAUUAGCAACCUCAUUAGCAAGAAUAAAAGUCAUCUUUCAACAUGCUCUGUAAGUUCAAUGAAUUCCCCACUCUCUGUCCCUACUCUCCAACCACCACUGUUACUAGAACAUUCAUUCCAAGGCAAACACAGCAAUGUUUUGUCAGCAGGAUCCACCUCACCUUCUAGUCAGAUCUGGAGACAGAGUUCUCUGUUAGUUAUAGGGGAUCCAGGUCCUAGAGUCUAGUUCCAUAGCUGGAUGUCCUGGGUUUACUUAUUUUUAAGCUCCUUCACGAAAAGGUGGUAAAGCCUAUAAAGUCUUACCAGCCAAGCACGUGUCUUGAACACAUUUCACCAUCCACUUCUAACCCCUCUCAUGUUUGGGCUUUCCUGCCCCUCACGAAUAUCCCGCCCUUCAGAUGGAGAGCCAGUUCCUCCAAUGCCACACGUUAGGACAUGUAAUUGUGUCCUUCCUGGCCAUGGAUAUGGCUUUGCACCAAGUGGUCCACGCGACCAUGGGACAUGCGACUUGAAUUUGUAAGGCAGGACCCAGGGUCUAGUCCCAGCCUGCCUCAGAGCACAAGGGCACUGACUAGGUGCCCCCCUCCCCCGCCCCACCACACACACACACACACACACACACACACAAAAGCCAGACUCAGCCCCAGUCAUGUGGCUCUUCUCUGACCCACUGAGCACUCCACCCCACUUACCCACAGUCACAAAGCCUGGUCCGGGGGCCCCAUGAACUGGUACACGGAACCCCCAAACCUAACCCCUGUUGCUGCUGCAAACUGGCUCCCUCUCCAAGGGUACGGAGCUUUGUACCCUUAUCACACCACCUACCUUAUGCUAUUAAUACCCAGGGCCGUGCCACCAGCUUAUUAAUAAUGUAUAGCUACAGCCCCUGACUUAGUCAAGCUACAAACAGCCCUUAUUUGCAUGAUUAGCUCUUACCUUACUGAUUAGGAAGUUUCAUCCUGCCCCCAAAACCUACCCUUUCUGAAUGAACGUCUCUUUUAAAGGGAGCCAGGCUUUCUAAAAUGCAUCUCAAAUCCAAAUAAAAAAGAAUCAACAGCAACAACAACAAAGAGAGGCCUGUUGUUUUCCUUAUGGAAUGAGAAGAGAGGAGCUUAAGAAGGUUUUUAAAUGUUCAGCGCCAUGCUUAUCGAAGGAGCUAAAAGUAUCUAUGGCUGUCAAGGGGCACCUGGGGGAUAAAAGGUUGUCCUAGGGCACCUGGGUGGCUCAGUCGGUUAAGCGUCUGACUUAAGCACAGGUCAU